CUCUCGGUAGCCAAGUUUGGUUUAAGGCGCAAGACUGUAAAUCUUGAGAUUCGGGCGUUCGACUCGCCCCCGGGAGA
rnacentral:tRNA from 1 species